rnacentral:rRNA from 1 species
AACGAACGCUGGCGGCAUGCCUAACACAUGCAAGUCGAACGAGAUCUUCGGGUCUAGUGGCGCACGGGUGCGUAACGCGUGGGAAUCUGCCCUUUGGUUCGGAAUAACAGUUGGAAACGACUGCUAAUACCGGAUGAUGACGAAAGUCCAAAGAUUUAUCGCCAGAGGAUGAGCCCGCGUAGGAUUAGCUAGUUGGUGUGGUAAAGGCGCACCAAGGCGACGAUCCUUAGCUGGUCUGAGAGGAUGAUCAGCCACACUGGGACUGAGACACGGCCCAGACUCCUACGGGAGGCAGCAGUAGGGAAUAUUGGACAAUGGGCGAAAGCCUGAUCCAGCAAUGCCGCGUGAGCGAUGAAGGCCUUAGGGUUGUAGAGCUCUUUUACCCGGGAUGAUAAUGGCAGUACCGGGAGAAUAAGCUCCGGCUAACUCCGUGCCAGCCGCCGCCGUAA